rnacentral:rRNA from 1 species
GCCAGCAGCCAUAUCACCCUGCAAAGCCCACUGAAGCUCAUCAGGUGUGAGCCUGGUCAGUACCUGGAUGGGAGACCUCCUGGGAAAAACUAAGGUUGCUGCUGGAA